UUUUAAUUAAUGUUGUUAAUAUUAUUUUUCUGUGAAUGUCAAUUAUAUUACUUCUAUUUAUAUUUGUUGUGAUUAUUCUUUUAUUGCAUUUUUUUUUAUUAAUGACACUUUGUUAUUUGUUAUUUUUAUUAAUAGGUUGUUUGAAUACUUUUUAAAUAUUGAUUGGGAAAACUUUGGGUGAUAAUGAAUAGGGUAUUUUUUUUUUUGUUAUUUAGGGAAAAAUUUCUAUCUAAAUUGAUGGAAAAAUUAAUAUAAUGGUUAACUAUAUGUUUUUUGUUUUAGUCUCUUCUUCAAAAGUUUUCAAAAGUUUGAUUGUCUUAGGUUUCCAUACCUGAGAAAUGUAAGUAUUUAAUCCUCAAUACCUGUUAAUUUUUUUUACGUGGCAAACACUAUGUCACGUCACCCUUAUGUUAUUAGACACAUAUCUAGUUUUAGUUACAUGUGUUAAUUGAAGAAUAGAAGAGAAGUUUAGAGUCUAAAUAAUUGAAUUUUUAGUUCUAUAAUUUUUAUUGGAAAUCCAAUGUUUGAAAAUAUGUGUUGAAAUUGAAAUUGAAUUGAAGAAAAAUAAGAACAUUGAAGGAUUGUUGAACGAAGAAGGGAAAAUUGUGCUUUGAAUCAAAGUUGAAGGAUACAAAAGCAAGGAUUUUCAUUGAAGGUCGCGAAAUUACAGAAAGGGAAAUUACGUGUGUUUGCUUUACAAGUCAGGGGAAGUUUGUAAAGAAUAAAAGGUUGCAUUACCUGGGUGGGGAAAAACGUGGUUAGAGGAGUUGAUCUUGUUUUGAAGCAUUGGAUAUACUAAGAGACUUCAAAUAUGUCGUGGAUGUUAAACUUUAGUGGAAGCCGAGAAAAGAAAGCUUGGAUAAGAAUUUGAACUAUUGAGUGUGGAUAUGCAAUAGAGUUAGCUAGCUAGAGAGAGGCUCAUCAAGAAGUUGAAAUAUAUAUUGAGCAUAUUCUUAGUA